rnacentral:rRNA from 1 species
UGGGGAAUAUUGCACAAUGGGCGCAAGCCUGAUGCAGCCAUGCCGCGUGUAUGAAGAAGGCCUUCGGGUUGUAAAGUACUUUCAGCGGGGAGGAAGGGAGUAAAGUUAAUACCUUUGCUCAUUGACGUUACCCGCAGAAGAAGCACCGGCUAACUCCGUGCCAGCAGCCGCGGUAAUACGGAGGGUGCAAGCGUUAAUCGGAAUUACUGGGCGUAAAGCGCACGCAGGCGGUUUGUUAAGUCAGAUGUGAAAUCCCCGGGCUCAACCUGGGAACUGCAUUCGAAACUGGCAGGCUAGAGUCUUGUAGAGGGGGGUAGAAUUCCAGGUGUAGCGGUGAAAUGCGUAGAGAUCUGGGGGAAUACCGGUGGCGAAGGCGGCCCCCUGGACAAAGACUGACGCUCAGGUGCGAAAGCGUGGGGAGCAAACAGG